CGUUUCGAAGAAAAAGACAAGAAGAAGAAGAAGAGGAAGAAGACGAAGAGUCCGGAGGUCGUGCGUGUGGCGCCUUACCGCGCGCUUAAACAAGUCCGGAGCGCUCCAGAUGACGAGCAAAGCAGCAGCCCAAACGGAACCAAGGCAGCAUACUGCCCGUUUGCACGCACCCAACGGCAGCCAAGGGUGACGUGGGCCCAUCAGCGCACACAAGUCGAUACAUCGAAAAACAGAUCAACUUUGGGGGAAAGAGAAAUGAACUUUCUUUCUCUAAACAACUUUUGAUCCCUGGAAUGUUUCCCCCACUUGGCAGAUUGAAGCAAGCGGAACGUGAAGAGUCCAGGCUUAUGGAGUCACGAGCCGUUCACGACGUCAACGUGAAGGCAAAUCCGGCUGGAACGCCGCUGGGCUGGAGUUUUCCGGCUCUGCUUGCGUCUGGAGUGAUAAACGGGAAGUUAAUUUGCACAGGAGCCCAGGUUGCAGCACCUUCCUCCGGGCAAUAGGCAGGAACGCAAGACAAAUGGAAAUCCACCCAGAGGGAUUCCAUUUUAAAUAGAUAUCAGCCCAUAUAUGAAGGCAGGCGCUGGCGGAGGGGGGGGGGCCCUGGUGUCUUCUUAGUAGGUGUAAUUUGGAGUGCGUAAUGAAGGAAGAAAGGCGCUAUAGGUUAAUCUGAUUGACCCCCGCCGCCACGAGAACGUCUCCCCAGCCGCCCAGCUCCGCCUGCCCUCUGAGAGCGCGUCUGCCCGCCAAUGAUACAGAGGACGCAUACCUCCGGAAUGUAUCCAAGCCACCGCUGAUACGGACUAGAUCAGUGAUGUUGGUGAUACUUGAGCGCGUCCAGGUGGUGCAAGAGCGGACGGGACCGCCGGGCAGCCGUUCACGCAACAAUGACAAGAAGGAUGGCAUCGAGGAUACGACGAUGACACAGAGUGUAUUGGUGACAACGAAUGACGCUGGCGAUACUGCGCUGAGGAGAUGAAUGAUGAUACGGAUUAGACUGGUGAUUUAACCAUACUCAAGAUACCGAGGAUGGUGAUGAUCCCAAUGAUACUGGCAAAACGGAUCGUUCUUAACUCUGUUGAUACGUAUGAAACGAGUGAUCUCGACGGUACCAAUGACACCAAGAUGAUACCGAUGAUACAGACCUCAGUAAAUAAUAUAUACCCUCAUUUUCGGACUAUAAAUCGCUCCUGAGUAUAAGUUGCCCCCUCACCCAAACUAUGAAAAAAACCGCGACUUAUAGUCCGAAAAUUACGGUAGUAUCUUUCCACAUCAUACAUUUCAACUGUAAUUAAAUGUCAUGACUUGUUUGACUUGGUUGGCUCGCGUUCUAUCCGUUUGGUCUGAUUUAGCAUAGCUUGGCUCUUUGCUUUCGGGUCGGGCGCGUGUGCCACGGGUGCCUCGGCGAGGUGUGUCCGAUUAGCUUCCCUGUCUGCCCGCUGUGACUUUGCAACUCUAUCUGUCCUCAGCAAAUAAAUAAGAUCGUGCUUUG